AACGAACGCUGGCGGCAGGCCUUAUACAUGCAAGUCGAGCGCAUCCUUCGGGAUGAGCGGCGGACGGGUGAGUAACGCGUGGGAAUGUGCCCUUCUCUACGGAAUAGCCACUGGAAACGGUGAGUAAUACCGUAUACGCCCUCAGGGGGAAAGAUUUAUCGGAGAAGGAUCAGCCCGCGUUAGAUUAGGUAGUUGGUGGGGUAACGGCCUACCAAGCCUACGAUCUAUAGCUGGUUUUAGAGGAUGAUCAGCCACACUGGGACUGAGACACGGCCCAGACUCCUACGGGAGGCAGCAGUAGGGAAUCUUGGACAAUGGGGGCAACCCUGAUCCAGCCAUGCCGCGUGAGUGAAGAAGGCCCUAGGGUCGUAAAGCUCUUUCGCCUGUGAUGAUAAUGACAGUAGCAGGUAAAGAAACCCCGGCUAACUCCG
rnacentral:rRNA from 1 species